AGAGGGAGCAAGAAGAGAGAAGGAGAAAGAGGGAGAGACAGAUUAUGCAUCUACCACCAAAGCCUUAUAGAAGACCAGCUCUCACAAGUCCAAUGGCAGGGCUGCAACACAAGGCACCAGCCUGGCUUUAAGGACUCCAGAAGGUGAUGGUGUACAGUGGAGGUUGAAGACAAUUAUGAUAUGAAAUGAUAGAACAUGACUAAGAAGACAUCCUAUUUUAAGGAAACCUGAAAGAUAUCCAAAGUGCUCAACAACAGCAAGAAUUUGCAAUGGAAAACAUUUUCAUUGUU